rnacentral:lncRNA from 1 species
UGUCCAGAUCCCACCAGAUGUUUGAGCCUUGGAUUUCUAUUCUGAACCACAGUGUUCAUGCCACGAUCUCUGAAAAUCACUAUUAAUUCCCAUAUCAGUAUACUUCAAGUCCUCUCAAGUUAAGUGAUUUUCUCAUUUUGACAUAAAAAGUUGGUGUCUCAUCCCACCAAGCGCCUGUUAUAACCCUGUUUUCUUGAGAGAAAUGGGGUGUCUCCUUAAACCUUUCCAUAAGGUGAGGAGAAACACAGCAAUUUCUGUUAAGAGCAAGGAAAAUUAAAGCAACUCUCUAUUUUAAGACCAC